UAUCUGUGUCCUACCCAUGUGCACAUGCACACAUAAUCUCUAUCUCUUUUGGACAUGCACGGAAAGUGAAGAAGCAGCCACAUGCUUGCCACCGUGAGUUAGAUUGACUCGACAUGAAGGAAAGAGAAGGACUCUGGUUGUUGAUUGCAAUUUUGUUAACUGGCCAAGUGACUGUUGCUGGCGGGCCUGUUUCUUCCCUGGCAGUUCUGAAGGGCCCGGAACUAGCUUACCUCAACAAAAGAGUUAAGUUUUCCUGUGAGGUCCUACGUUCACUUCCAUCAGCCACCUACCAGUUUAUGAAGGUGAAAGAUAUCCCAAUUACCACAAAGAAACUUUUAUCUGCAGGUCAGCCACCCAUAUUAUACUUAAAGGUCACUAAUACCUCAGCCGGAGCAUACUACUGCAAAGUGACAGUGCUGGGAAAAUCAAGUACCAGCAACAUUCUAAACCUGAAAGUAGUGAUUCCAGUCUCAGGUGCCAGCCUCCUGUCUGUGCCCAGUCCUCCUACAGUGUUUGAAGGAUCCUCACUGACUCUUUACUGUGAAGUUCAGAAGGGCUCUCACCUCUCCUACACAUGGUAUCACAACAGACUGGAAGUGAAAGCUUCCUCACACAUGCAUAACCUUUCUGGCAACUUACUUAAAGUGGACAAGCUGACAAAGUGGCAUGCUGGAAGUUACUCCUGCUCUGCAUGGAAUGAUAUAGGAGUUAGCCCACGCUUCUCCAGUAGCAAUGAAAUACAUGUCACAGUCAAAGUCAACAUUUCUGCACCAAAGCUGUCAUUCACACUCUACAGAGAGAAUGCCAGUUACUAUGCCAACUUGACUUGUGAGUCAGCUCAGGGCAGUGUUCCAGUUACAUUCCUGUUAUUCCUGGAAGGGCAGGAGAUUGAUCGGCAGGUCGCCAACUCCCUGACUGUAUGGUUCACUCUGCCAAUGAUGGUAGGAAUGGACAUGGUCUCAGCACAGUGCAGAGCAGAGACAAGUCACCAACAACUGACCAGCAACCUUCUUAAUCUAGAAAUGGCUCCUGUAGGGGGUCCUGUGUAUCUGCACACUGAAUACUUAUACAAUACUAACUGGCAAGUAGUAGCUAUGCGACUGCAAUGUGACAUCAACAGAGGUACCUUUCCCUCCAUCUCUUGGCUCCAUAACAACUCAUUCCUGCAUCAGAAGGACUGCUCUAAAAUCUCCAAUGACAAGUGCCAUGUCCUCUUCCUGACUGAUAUUACACCAGUGAAUUUUGGGUAUUACCAGUGCCUUGUGAAGGACAGUUUCAACAUCAAUGCAUCUUGGGUGCAGAGUAACAUUGUCCUUGUGGAGUCAAUAGAUUUACCUACAAUUACAACUGAGGUCAUAGCUGUUGUGUUCUGCUGCACCUUGCUGAUUGUCAUGAUGGGAAGCCUGUUCUGCAUAUUUUGGAUGCUUAACUAUCCAGUCUUGCAAUCAGAAGGUGUUACCAUACCUGAACAGCACAGCACAGCCACAUCUAUUGAAGCCUUACAAUGUCACCUUCAUCAAAAUGGGAGCUGUGUUGACCUGGACAAGUCCAACCGCCCACAUAACUAACAUCACAUAUACAGCACAGUACAGUUGGGGAAAGAGAUCUUUUAAAAGCAUAGAUACAUGUAUUGAAGUGAAAGAACUUUGCUGUGGCUUAAAGCUACCUUCAACCUAUGGGAUAUAUACUUUUAGAGUAAGGGCCCACCUUCAAGGAACCACAUCUGAAUGGGUUAAAAGUACAGAGACCAAAGUUACUAAAUUCACAGAUCCUCCAGUUGUGUCUAUGGUUUUGAGAUAUGGAGUUAUGGAGCUGAAUAUUACAGAGCCCGAGUAUGACCUCAGUUGUUUCUUAGUAAACAAUGUCUCCUACAACAUCACCUACUGGAGACAGCACCUGGAGAAUGAGCAGACAUGGCAGAGAACAGUUCAGCAAAGAAAAGUACACAGGUUGCCUGUGUCUGGGCUGCCAUCAGAAGGACUGUGUGUAAAAGUACACACUGUGUAUGCAGCCUUCAAUAAUGCUGGAGUACAGUUCGAAACAGCAGGUCCUCCCAGUAAACCAGUGUGUGCUCUAAAUUCUCCACAUGGCGAACCUAAGUAUAUUCAUUCAUACACAGCCCUGGUAGGGUGCUUAACAUCUCUAGCUGUACUUUCUGUGCUGAUACUGGGCUGGUGUGUCUACAAAGGCCAAAACUUCCUUUACCCAAAUGCAGCACUACCACAACAACUCAUACAGUGUCCCCCAGAGAGAUGCUUUGACAUGCCCCAAAUGUUGCUCCAUGCAGAAGAGCCAUACGAGCACAUCAGUGUAUGGGAGCCACAGUGUGAGAUGCACAACAGUGAGGAAAUGAGUGCUGUGAGAGUCUCUGAUGGAGUCAGUAAUAUCUGUGUGUAUGAAUCUCUGAGCAUUGUCUGUAUGAGUGAGGAAACUGUGUUUCACAGGAUGGCAGAACCUACAAACAAUGGUAUGCUUGAGCAACGCUAUUACAAUGUGCUCUCCUAAAGCAAUAUCUAAGACAAAUUUCAGAACCCCCUUAUCCCUUUCUCCAUGAAUUUGUCUAAAAAAGUAAGCAUGCCUACAUAAUCGUUUUGUGUUAUUUAGCAAAAGCUAAUUAAAUUCAAUGAAAUAAAGAAGCUGUUAU